CAACUGUCCUUGUUGUGUCGUCUGUUUAUGCUGUUUCAAAAUAAUUGAUUUGAUUCUAUAGUGUCUUGGAUUUGCAAUAAUGGCCUACCCAACUAUGUGGAUCAAAAAAGAAGGGGCCAUGUGACACAUCUACUGUGCCAGAGUCGAUGGUCCAGGUUUACCCAUCCAGUGUGAAAGUAGAAGAGAAUAUGCAGGGGGGUAUGAAUCAGGAGG